AUGGCCAUCUCUGGCCCAGGCACUGUCCUUACUCACUUGGAUGGUGCCGAGCCCUCCACCCUCAUCUCUCUGCUCAUAAUCAUCCCCAUUUCUCAGCUCCAUAGCUUGACUCUUCCCCUUCCUUGGCCCCUGCAGCCAUUUGUUUCUUCUUUCUUCCCUGGACCCCAUGCUUUGUGUACAUUCUGUUUACUCACCUCCCUCCUGUCCUGCAUUGGGUUUCUACUUAAAAUCCUGAUGAUCACCUAUCUAUCCCCUCCCCUUCAUCCUGGUUUCUUUCUUUCCAUAUCUCACAUGGUUCAACCAUCAUCAUCAUCAUCAUCAUCAUCAUCAUCAUCAUCAUGUUUUUUUUUUCCAGACAGGGUUUCUCUGUGUAACAGUCCUGACUAUCCUGGAACUCACUUUGUAGACCAGGCUGGCCUCAAACUCACAGAGAUUUCUCUGCUUCUGCCUCCCAAGUGCGGGGAUUAAAUGUGUGCUGCUGCGGCCACCACCACCACCUGGCUCAGAACAGGAUUUUUACAGAAGGAUGAGGGCUCCAGACUUGUCAGCAGAGGGAACUGUGAGCAGACAGGUAACAAGGGAAUGGCCAGUGUGGGGUUGUGCCUGAGUCUGCUUAUGACCGCUGGGCCAGCACCCAGGUUCUUGUGUGCUAUUAGGUGUGUCCUCUGCCUCCUGCGGCCUGACAUGAGCAUUUCCCAGUGUAGCCAACAGUUCAGUGUAGACAAUUCAUUUGAAAAGUUUUGGAAUCACCUCUGUGGCACUUCUUUGGGAAUAACAGGGCUUUGACUGGGGCUGGGGACAGAGAAAGGGACAGGGUUCAAUGUAGUUGUAACAGCCCUGCUCAGGCUCUAGCGGUCUCAAGCCUGUCCCAGGUCCCUUCUCUUCCAAAGUGAGUGAAGUUUCAGACCUCGGCCAGCAGGCGGCGCCCAGGUCUACAGCUCUCUGUCCUGCUCCCAGAAAGCUGCAGCAUCUCAGGUUGCAUCUAUGGGUGUUGACGCCAGGAAACAGCCUGUGGACUGACUCGAGGCAUCAGAGCGUGGGAUCCAGGCAGGGCAGACAGUUUCCCAUCAUCCGCUAAGCUCCACUGUGGGCCUGUUCCCUGGGAGUUUAUACAGUUCAGGCUGAUAGUGAAGACUGAUGAAGGCUUUCCCAGAAGUCUAUAAAAGUGUCCACUGAGAUUCUAAGUGAGAAUGUGCAAUGUCCAGAGCCUGGUCCCAUUUCUCCAACCGAGGCCAGAUGUCCAGAGAUUAGGGUAGGAGCUGGUGAAGCCCAUAGUUGGCUUGGGGAUUCUUGACUUGAUUGGAAUGGAGGGCCCUCUCCUCUCUGAUCUCCGGAAGCCACACAGACCACUUUGGUAUCCCAUCUGGUCUCCUGAUCAGAUCAGAGAGCAGUGUCAGAGGGCCCUGGAGCUUCCCUUGCAUCAGUUGCCCCUGCAACCCAGUCAAGGGGUCAGAGUUUGUUUCUUUGCUUAUAUUUUUGAAAUAUCUAUUUUAUUAUUUAAAUUAUGGGAGCAUGGGUGUGAGUGCAUGUCUCUGUGUUUGUACGUACAUAUGUGCACGUGUGAGUGCAUGUUCACAUGUUCACAUGCUGAGGCAAGGGCCAUUGGCUUUUGGGUUAUAUGCUGGUGUGAGAAGCAUGAUAUGGGUGCUAGGAACCAAACUCAAGUUCUCUGGAAGAACAGUGUGUGCUUUUAACCACUGAUCCAUCUCUCCAGUCCUUGUAUUUCAUUUUUUGGGCCAGGGGCUCCUUCUGUAGCCUAGUCAAGGCAAUUCUGCCCCUGCAUCCACCAUCUCCCUCUUUCUUUUGAGAUAGUGUCUCUCUAUGAAGCGCUGGCUGGACUGAAACUCACUAUGUAGACUAGGCUGGCUUUGAACUCGCAGAGAUCUUCCUGCUGCCUCUGGAGCGCUGGGAUUAAAGGUGUGCAUCACCACACUUGGCUAGCUGGUUACGUUUCUGAGACUCCCUGGCUGACUCCACCUUAGGGUCUCAGGUACAACAUUCAACCCAAGGACUGGCCAUUGAAGACUGGAGUGUGUCUCUGUCCCCCCUGGUUCUGGAACAAAAUAGCCAAACCAAGGAAGCCUAUCAGAGCCUAGCUAUGGGUUCUCUCCUGGGUUCUGCCUGCCAUGAUCACAUCUCUGGCAUCCCUUGUUCAGCUGCUGGCAGAUCCCUUCCAUCUGUGGGUGUGGCACAGGUUAACACCUUGAAAUCCCUUUUGUCUCCCGUCUUUCUGGGCCUGGAUCUUCUCUCCCUACCCUCCUGUUUGGAAGCCCCCGAGAACUCAGCUUUAAGCAUACUUAGCCCAAAGAGUCUAUGUGCUGCUUAAACAUGUAGGGAAGAGCAUUGGCUUGGGACAAUCAGGCCCAGGCCCAGACACCCCAUGUCCUCUUCCAUGCCCUGAGCACCAAGGCUGAAAUCCAGGUGUAGCUAAGACUCAGCACUGGCCUGGUUCACUCUCUGCUGUCAACCAACACCUGGUGGAAGCUGGACUUGGUGUGUAAUCAGCACUCAGGAAGCUGAGACAGGAGAGUUGUGAAUUUGAGCCCAGCUUAGGCUGCCCAGGAGAUCCUGUCUAAAAAAAAAAAAAAAAAAAAAAAAAAAAACCCAAAAAAAAAAGGUAAUAUAAGGAGGUAGCAGAGGACGUUGGGGCUUGGCAGAGGGGCUGCUAACACACAUGGGAGUGUUCACAAGGGCUCUGCGGUUAACAGUUAUGAUUGACCAGGCUUAGAUAAGGCUCUUGCCCCCCUCCAGCCUCAGUUCCAGCCUCAGUUUUCCCAUAUGGGAUGUGGGGGUGAGCCCUGCUCUCUGCCUCAUUGAGUCUCCUGAAGAUUAAAUGCAGUUAUCGACACCUAGAGACCAUAGCAUGGGAACUCAGGGACAGAGAGGGUGCAGUAGAUCGGUAUGCAGAAGGGGAGACAACAGUGAGUGUCUGCAUUUGUGUUCACAGACUGGAGGAAUGGGCUGCUGCUUACUUGCUGGGGGAGGGGCAGUGCUGUCAGAGCUGGUAAUUAGGCUGCGGAUUAGGGGACCCCACGUGACCAUUGGUGCAAGUGCUUUUGUUGUGGUCUGAGUCUCCCUUAGCACCCCCCACCCCACUCUGGGAUCAAAGGAAAUGUCCAGUUUUCUUUGCAACACAGUGGGAGGGGGUCACCCGGAAGGGUCUGCGCCUUCCUCUCAGCGUUGUUAGGGGCGACCAGGGGAAGGGUGGUGAGGCACCCUCAAGGAAGGCUUGUUUUGACAGUUCCCAUGCCGUUUACAUGGUCCUCAAGUCACUAGAGGAGCCUCCUGAAUGAGAAGGCGGAGGCAUUACCUAAGAGCACCAGCCACUAAGAGGGUGGGCCUCAGCCUGGUCUUCUCCUGCACUUGCCCCCACCCACAGAGCGAGUAGGGUGGGCCAGCCUUCAGAGAUGGAACCUUAGGCCCUCCCUGCCUGGCUCCCGUCAGUACCCACCCUCUCAUUCUCUGCUACAAACACCUGAGAAAGCUGGGGUGCUCACAGACCUGGGGUCCUGUGAAGAACUACUGACUGCAGGGGUUGUGCCUUGUAUCUUAAGGCAUGUAUAUAUCCAUUCACAUGGUCACCUAGGUCCACAAAGGGAGGGCCGGGGGACAUGCCUCCUAGCCAGCCCAGCUGGCUUUGGUGCUCUGAGGCCUGGGGCUUUGUGCAGUAAUUUCAGGGGAGGGAAACAAGGCAGAAGGCACUGGAGGCAGGCAGGCCAGGCCUGUAGGGAAGAGAGAGAGCAGGUGGGCUAGGCAGGAGGGC
rnacentral:lncRNA from 1 species